rnacentral:rRNA from 1 species
GACGAACGCUGGCGGCGUGGAUUAGGCAUGCAAGUCGAACGGUAUCAUCCUUUCGGGGGUGAGAGAGUGGCGAACUGGUGAGUAACACGUAGGUUAUCUACCCUCAAGACGGGGACAACCCAGGGAAACUUGGGCUAAUACCGGAUGUGAGCAACUUUUAGUUGCUUGAAAGGUGGCGUAAGCUGUCGCUUGGGGAUGAGCCUGCGUCCUAUUAGUUAGUUGGUGAGGUAACGGCUCACCUAGGCAAUGAUAGGUAGGCGGCCUUAACGGGUGGUCGCCCACACUGGGAUUGAGAUACGGCCCAGACUCCUACGGGAGGCAGCAGUCGAGAAUAGUCUACAAUGGUCGGAAGACUGAUAGUGCGACGCCGCGUGAACGAUGAAUCCCUUCGGGGUGUAAAGUUCUUUUAUAUGUGAGCAGUGCUUCUUAUAUUAACAGUAUGGGGAGAGAGAUAUUAGCAUAUGAAUAAGCAACGGCUAACUCCGUGCCAGCAGCCGCGGUAAA